GGAGAGAGUGAGCGUAAAAGAGUAAAUGUGGGACUGACUUUUAGUGGUUGGUGAGAGCUCGAUGAAAUAAAAAGGCUGAAAGACAGACGCCGAGCUGGGCUGACUGCUGUGACUGAACAGGAGUGGAGAGAGUUUGGUCACAACAUUCAUCAGGAGAGAAAUAAUAGUCUGAAAGGAAAGGAUGCACCUGUUUCCUGUAUAAGUCAGACUUCAUAUCCUGUCCAUCUGCUUUCUGCAGCCAAUGCUAAAGCUCUUGGGUCACCAGUUAAAUGUGUGCUGGAUGGUGACUUUACCCCGUGGCACUGAUGUGGAAUCAGCUCAAAACAGCUGCAGUGAGGAAAGAGCACAGCGUCGUGUCACUUAGACAAUAGUCACUGUGUUACAGGGACCGACAUAACUCAUGGCCCGGUGGCCUGGGGCCAGUAAAAGUACAUGCAGGGCAAGUUGAUUGGCGGUUGACGAAACUGAUCAACGCUGCCUAUCACACAAUCAAAUCCAAUCAGAGCAGCCCUGCAAGAAGAACGGUGUCAACGUCGGGUCGCAAUAUUGUUAAAGUUCAAAACUAAAAGUGCUCAUACUGUUUGGAUUCAAAACAAUCAUACCUGCUUAUAAUUUGGGCUGUGGCUUCAACCUUCGUCAGAGCUGUCAAAGCGUCUUGGUGUGAUGUGUCCCACAUACCUUAGACACCAGCGGAGGACGGGUGCGGCUGGGUGGGGAACUUAUUUAAAUUUUUCUUGGCACUGUCAGCUGUUUUAAGACACGUCACACCAAGACGCUUUGACAGCUCUGACGAGGGCUGAAGCUACAGCAGGUAUGAUUACAUACUAUCCUUAUUUACUUGUCUGAUCACAAGAAGCUAAAACUAUAAUACCUUGUGAGUACGUUGUCCUAACUACUACUUUUUUAUUUCUCAGGUUUGAAAAUGUCAUCUAUGAUGAGCUGUGGGAGGGCUGUGCAGCUGAGAUUAGAGCAGCACAUUUCAUAAGUGUGUUGGCAGACACUGCUACAGAUGUCAGUGGCAGAGAUCUUCAGGGGGUCUACAUCCGAAUGGGCAUCCGAAUAAGACACUAUAUAUAUUGUUUAUAUUGCUGUGUUAUCACUCUUUGAGUGUAUUGCUAAAAAACAAGUGUUCCUCUGUCUACAGCACUUCAGAAGGCAGAGCUUUCUAACUGGGUUUUGGCUCUGAUGGGGCUGCUGUGAUGGUGGGGAGGGUUGGAGGUGUCACCACACUCCUACUGUAAGAGCCGAUGUUCCCCAUCUCAUUAACAUCCAGUGCCUGGGACAUGUCCUGGAGUUGGCAGCAAUGGAUGCCAUGAAAGGCAAUGAUAGACUGAAAAAGAUCUGCAAGUGCUGAAAUGGUUGGAAGAGCAAAGCAGUGCCUGCAGCUAUUAAGGGACUUUCAACAUCUGCUCUUCUUUGUUCUGGUGCAAGACAUCCUCGAAGUCUUGAGUUGCAGUGAGAGAAGAAGAAGGUCACCGGAGC